rnacentral:tRNA from 1 species
GGCCAUAUAUUCAAAUAUGAUUUUAGACUGCAAUUCUAAAGGUAUGAUUAUUCAUUAAGGCCU